UCGGCUUGGACAACAUUGAAGGGCGCAGCGAAGUGUGAUAACCUUUGUGAAUUGCAGAAUUCCGUGAAUCAAUAGAGCAUUGAACGCGUGCUGUGCUGUUGGGAUAUACCUGACAGCAUGCCUGGUUUGGCGUCUUCUGGAGUGACUUUGGGGUGGCAUA
rnacentral:rRNA from 1 species